ensembl:lncRNA
CGGGGCGCGGCGCUUAGAGACCCGGCUCCUUGAGGGGCCUCCGGGGCACCUGGCGCCUGCCCUUGGCAGCCGCACGCCCAGACCGUGCCCUUUCGGGCGGCUUCUCCUCCUUCCCUUUCCUCAGCAAGCCCUCCUCCAGCGGACACGCGCAUCCGUUCCGCCAACGCCCCUCUGCCCUCGCUCUGUAGCCGGCUCUCUGGCCCCUCGUGGCUGCGCCUGUCCUCCCCGCCUGGAGACAGGGCUGCGGGGAGGGGCGAUAGGGCAACAGUGUCCUGGGCCCCGUCAUUUCCAGGAAAAGCAGUGCCCCACCUUUGGAGGCGUGCACCCUUCGAUAGCUCAGCUGGUAGAGCGGAGGACUGUAGCCUGGACUCGUGUGGACAUCCUUAGGUCGCUGGUUCGAUUCCGGCUCGAAGGAGGUGCCUGACAGCUUUUGCCCCAUCCUGCAUCAGGAGGGGCGCUAGCGCCCGGCGCCCAGCCCCACCGCUGCUGCCCCUGCCCUUGGGCCCCCUGCAGCAUCGCAUCGCAGCCGCCUCCCUCUCCCAGGCCAAAGCCAGGAAAGCCUCUCCCUUCCACCGACACAGGGACUGGACGGGACGGGACGGGCGGGCGGGCCGGGCCGGCCUGCUGCUGCUGUCACUAGGGAGCACACGCCCGCUUGCUGCCCGCACUCCACGCACACACGCACACACACGCACGCACGCACACCCGUGCCCUGUAGCGCAUAAUCGGUCCCCUGGCUCCUGCCAUAUGGGGUGGCCUCCACCACACUCCGCGCCCUUUCUCCUUUUCUUCACCCAGCCCUCCGGCUCCCACUCCCGCUUCCCAGCGCCGCCUCUGCCACCACCCCACCGCUUUGCUCCGUAUACCUGCACAGCAAGCUCCCUGCCACACAGGUGGGCCCUGGAGAGCCGUCCACGGCAAGCUCCGGAGGCUGACCAGCAUGCACGCUGUCACGCCGUCGCGCUGGGCACCCACGGCCCUGGGGCGUCCUUCUUGAACACUCGGCCUCUCCAUCUCUGUCUCCUGCUCCGCCUCCUCCUGGGAUGCUGCUCUCACCGUCCCUCUUCUGUCGAGCCCACCCGCAGUCUCUCUAGCUCUCUUGCUCUCUCCAUCCUUCUUGCUAUGCCCACACCCCCCGGCCCUCCUCUCUGUCUCUCUCUGUCUCUCUGUGUCUCUGGCACUCUUUCUCUGUCUCUCUCUUGAUGCGCCCAUCAACACGUGCACCUACAGAGAGAGAAAACCCUCUCUCCUGCCCCGCUUUACCUAGUCGCGGGACAGAAGCGCCACCCUGAGACACUUCCAGCCAUUGCCAACUGCGCAGCUGCCCCGGGGGAGGCUGACUUGGGCAGGAGCGGCAGGCGGCAGGGCCCUUGGUGGGCCUUGAGAGCCGGCUUGGGAACCUCGGCCGGCCGGGUCAGCUUUCCUGUGCAUCUGAGGACGGGGCUGCGGCCCCCCGGGCAGCCUCCACUUUCACUCGCCUUCACACCCUUUCCUGUCGCCACGGGAGGGGUUGAGUUCCUUCGGAAAGAGCGGUGACUGAUCCCGCUCUGCUGCGUGGUGUCACAACCACCUGCCUCGAUGCCCCUGCUCCUCCUGACCUGGACAGACAGCCGUGGAAGUCGAGGGAGAGACCGAGAGAGAGAGAGAGCGAGAGGGAGAGGUGGAGGGAGACAGCCAGACAGACCCAGAGACAGAAGGCAACUCUCUGCUCUCUGCCUUGUGGAUGGAGCUGGGUUCCAGGGCUGUGGCUGGGCGUGGCGGGCAGUCUGGGCACACGGAAGGCGGCCAGGGAGUGGUCCUUGGUCUCUGCCCUCCUGCGGCAAGGAGACUCCGGAGACCCCACGGACGGCUGGAGCUCCUCAGCGAGAGGACCGCCAGCUGAAGCGAGAGGAAGGCCCUGGGGCCAACCGAGCAGCCUCUCUCGCGCGAGCCCUGAGCCCACAGGUGGCUUUGGGCAACCGGAGCCCGGGCUUCCCCGUCCUCUUCCUCUCCUGGCAUGCCGCCCCCAGUCUCCCCCCGGGGGCCGGAGAGGGGGCCGGAGAGGAGGGGGGGGUCUGAGCCUUCCCUUCUCUCCCACCACCGCCAACUGAGCCGGGCUGAGCCCCGGGCCGUGGAGUCUCCACAGGUGCCGGCCCAGGGUGCCGUGCCCUUGUAGCCUCCCAGGUGGCCCUCGGGAGCAAGGGUUGGCUCUGCAGCCACAGAGGG